rnacentral:misc_RNA from 1 species
GAUGAAGAACGUAGCGAAAUGCGAUAAGUAAUGUGAAUUGCAGAAUUCAGUGAACCAUCGAAUCUUUGAACGCACAUUGCGCCCGGCAGUAAUCUGCCGGGCAUGCCUGUCCGAGCGUCAUUUCUGCCCUCGAGCGAGUCCAGCAUCUAGGUGCUGGGCCCGCCCGGCGUUGGGGCACUACGGGAAGCCCUGUGCUGUCCCCCGUAGGCCCCGAAAUGAAGUGGCGGUCCUGCCGCGGCGCCCCCUGCGUAGUAUAACAGCUCGCUUCGGGACCCGGUGGAGGCCUGCCGUCAAACCUUACUCUCUAAGUUUGACCGCGGAUCAGGUAGGGUUACCCGCUGAACUUAAGCAUAUCAAUAAGCGGAGGA